GUUUGUCCAGACGAGAUCUGAUUU
rnacentral:snRNA from 1 species